CCUAAAAUACAAACCCUAAACCUAGAUACAGAAACGGCGCCCCACUGUACUAUUCAUCAUUUUCCUCGUCAAACUCAGUCCUCAACUCGUCUAAAACUCAGGCGAGUUCACUCAAAUGGGUCCCCCUCCUCUCCACGUUACUUUAUUCCAAUGAUUUUCUGUCAGAGAAGGAAGAAUAUUCCCGAAUUUGCACGAUUUGUGUACUAUAGAGCGAUUUGCUGGAUGAAUGGGAGCUGUGGAUGGAUGUAAAUCGAUCCAUGCUUUCUAUUUGUCCCUAAAAUCGUUCAAAAAUGAGGGGAUUUUUUCGAAUUUUUGGGCAGAAGCUUCGAGAUUUUUGAGGGUUAUAUAUAAGGUUCAUAUCUUCACUCCUUCUUAAUUUGUUCUGGUAUCGAUCAAAAAUGUGAUGAUGGUUGAGACUUUGUUAGAUUGGAAGUGUUUAUGAGCUGGUUCAUGAGAAACCAGCCUGUGAUGCAGUUUUGUUUUUGUUUUUCUUGGCUCCGGACACAUCUUCCUUAUUCUAUUCGUUCUGUGUGCUGCGAUUCAUUCGGGUUAUACAUGUGUUGCCUUGGUGUUUACUGGUGAAUGGUGUAUAAAUCUAUUUUGCUUUACCAUACAGAAUUCAUGUCUGUUCUUGAAUUGGUUAAAAUUUCCAAACGUUGAAUGCUAAGGUUGAAUGCUAAGGUUGAGUAUAUUCUGGAUAAGCCAACAGCUUUAUAAAACAUGAGUGUCACACAAAUUUUAAUGAAAUACACUAACUUUCACUAGCAGCUUGUAUUUAGUUGAUAUCUACAUUGACCAUCUAAGAGAUAUUGUUGAUGUUAGCAAGUAGUUAAGAAAAAAUAUUUAAGUCGUGAAUCAUGAUUCUUUUGAUUGCAUCUGAAGUAAAAAAUAUCAAUGGUGAAUAAUGAAACAAAACUGGAAAGCAGAGAACAAUUAGAGUAGUUAGUUUCACUGAUUUUCUUUGAGCUUGAAAUGUACCUGUGAGAGAAUGCAAAGCAAUAACUACAUCAGAAGAAAAUUGUUCUAGAGUUAACUUUCUUUCCUUUUUGAUGUAUUGACUAUAUAUGUAUGGUGAACAUGAUAUCUGGAAAUGUGUGUCUUCUAUUACAAUUACUCCUUGUUAAGUCAUAUGUAAUUGAGUUGUUAUGAUGUCAGUAGAUUUACUUAUGUAUAGAUGUAGUUUAAAUAUUUUCUUUUGUGCUAUUUUGUUGUUUAUACGGCCCUGCCAUCCAAGAGAACAUGGUGAUUAUUUUUUAGGCUUACAUAUCACUGUUAAAAUGCAUCUUAGUGUUUGACAAAAGAAUGUGUCACACAUAGGAUUAACAAGAUGACUGAAAUUGGUUAAAACUAAGUCAGAUUGAAUGUUAGUUUAAAGUCAUUUAUCUUCCACAUGCUGAUAUUUUCAUAUAACCGCAAUAUCAAGUUAGUAGUAAUUUUAAUGGUUAUUCAUUCAGGGUACAGCGUUUUACUGGUUAUGGCAUUGUAUCUUUUUUCUGUGAUCUCUUACUUUAGGCCCUAAGUUCUAGCUUGAUAGCUUGUUUAGUUGAUUAAUUAUCAUGGAUGAUAUAAAGGGUUCCAAUUGACCCCA